AAAAAUAUUCUAUAUAAAACUGCUUUCUUUAUAAGUAGACCAUGUCCGGCUUUUACACUAUUAAGCCGAACUACGUCUCCUUAUACAGGUAUCAGUUACUGACGCCGAUGUGAAAA
rnacentral:precursor_RNA from 12 species